GUCAGGGUGGUGUAGUGGUUUCAGUGUUGGACUACCACUCUGGAAACCAGGGUUUGACUCCUUGCUUAGCCA